AAACCCUAAGAAACAUCUACUGGAACAGAUCCAACCAUUGCUUUGGACAAGAAAUCGACAAUUGAUUGUCCGGCGUUGCCUGAUUAGGUCAACAGUAGUGGUCGCCUAUGCUGAAACACAUCGCCGGGGCGGUCUUUGCCGAGGAGGCCAUUAUUAGCCCGUUCCUUACGAAUACGAACGAACCAAGGCGCCGCCUUCUUCUUCGGGGCUGUCUUUGUAACAGUCGUCCUAGGCUUCACUAACGGUGUUGCAGCAGCAGGCGCGGCUUCCUGAAUCCUAGGCCGCUUCCUCGACUCAUCG
rnacentral:lncRNA from 1 species